AAAAGUGGCUUCUGUGUGAGUGGCACAUGUCGGGCAGCUCACUUGCUCUAGGUGUGGGAUCGACGUCAAGAGCCUUCAGAAGCACAAUCAAUCCAGUAGGGCAGUCGGCGAUCCUUGGUCCUGGUACCCUU
ensembl:snRNA